GAUGAAGAACGUAGCGAAAUGCGAUACGUAAUGUGAAUUGCAGAAUUCAGUGAAUCAUCGAAUCUUUGAACGCAUAUUGCGCUCUCUGGUAUUCCGGAGAGCAUGCUUGUUUGAGUAUCAGUAAACACCUCAACUUCCAUAUCUUUUUUGAAAUGGGAGUUGGACUUGAGUGAUCCCAACGCUUUUCCUCACCGAAAAGCGGCGGGUUACUUGAAAUGCAGGUGCAGCUGGACUUUUCUCUGAGCUAUAAGCAUAUCUAUUUAGUCUGCCUAAAAAACAGAUUAUUACCUUUGCUGCAGCUAACAUAAAGGAGAUUAGUUCUUGUGCUGACUGAUGCAGGAUUCACAAAGACAGGCUUCGGCCGACUUUGUAAACUCGAUCUCAAAUCAAGUAAGACUACCCGCUGAACUUAAGCAUAUCAAUGCGGAGGA
rnacentral:misc_RNA from 1 species